UGGGGAGCUGCUACAGCAUGUGGGGUACAGGUGCAACACAUCUUGGUCAUAGGAGAGCCUUUCCUUACUAUUUUAAGUUGUAGUCAUAGGUCAAGGGUAGACCAGGUACACCUUGGACACAGGUACAAGACAGGUUGGCCUCCUCUCUCUUAGUGAAUGGCUGAAUUUGCCCUUAAUUGGUCCCCCCUUGUAUUAUUUUGUGGAAUAUCCUUUGGAAUCUUCUUUGCUG
rnacentral:lncRNA from 1 species